GACGAACGCUGGCGGCGUGCUUAACACAUGCAAGUCGAACGCGCCUGUCCUCUGGGUUUCUGGGGGGUGGGUGAGUGGCGAACGGGUGAGUAACACGUGAGUAACCUGCCCCCUUCUUCGGGAUAACGGUCUGAAAGGGCUGCUAAUACCGGGUAUUCACUGGUCUCCGCAUGGGGUCUGGUGGAAAGGUUUUUUUCUGGUGGGGGAUGGGCUCGCGGCCUAUCAGCUUGUUGGUGGGGUGAUGGCCCACCAAGGCUUUGACGGGUAGCCGGCCUGAGAGGGUGCCCGGUCACAUUGAGACUGAGAUACGGCCCAGACUCCUACGGGAGGCAGCAGUGGGGAAUAUUGCGCGAUGGGCGCCAGCCUGAUGCAGCGACGCCGCGUGAGGGAUGGCGGCCGUCGGGUUGUGAACCUCUUUCGCCCGUGGUCAAGCCGCGACGUGGGUCGUGGUGAGGGUAGUGGGUAAAGAAGCGCCGGCUAACUACGUG
rnacentral:rRNA from 1 species